AUUGAACGCUGGCGGCAGGCCUAACACAUGCAAGUCGAACGGUAGCACAGAGAGCUUGCUCUCGGGUGGCGAGUGGCGGACGGGUGAGUAACGUCUGGGAAACUGCCCGAUGGAGGGGGAUAACUACUGGAAACGGUAGCUAAUACCGCAUAACGUCGCAAGACCAAAGUGGGGGACCUUCGGGCCUCACACCAUCGGAUGUGCCCAGAUGGGAUUAGCUAGUAGGUGGGGUAAUGGCUCACCUAGGCGACGAUCCCUAGCUGGUCUGAGAGGAUGACCAGCCACACUGGAACUGAGACACGGUCCAGACUCCUACGGGAGGCAGCAGUGGGGAAUAUUGCACAAUGGGCGCAAGCCUGAUGCAGCCAUGCCGCGUGUAUGAAGAAGGCCUUCGGGUUGUAAAGUACUUUCAGCGGGGAGGAAGGCGGUGAAGUUAAUAGCUUCACCGAUUGACGUUACCCGCAGAAGAAGCACCGGCUAACUCCGUGCCAGCCGCCGCAAAAA
rnacentral:rRNA from 1 species